AAGAUAUUCAAGAUAUGCAUUUACAAGCAGGGUGGAUCCAGCUUCUGUGGAAUCUAAGGAGGGGGGAAUCUCCUGUAGACAAAGUAUUAAAAUAUCUUAUUUUUGCAGAUGGCACAAAGAUACUUGACCAUAUGAAUCAAUGGGACAGGGUGGUGCGAGUGAAGGAGCCCAGAGCAGAGCUUCAAGAGUUUCUCAGUAAAUCUGUCCCUGCUCAUGAAUGGAUGAUCUCACCAUGAUCUCACCUUGGAGGGGGAGCAGAAAGAACCAGAAUAAGGAGAAGAUUGUGAGCCCCGGUGACAGGAAGGCCCAGAGCUCCCUGGGAGUGCUGGACUCUGUGACUCAGGGAUGCACACACUGUGUGUGUGACCUUUGACCUGUGAACUGGUCUGAGGCAAAGCAGUCUGCGGCAGUGGCCUUCAUGUGCUACACUAUGCAGCACAUCUAUGGAGAUUGCACCUCCAGUGAAAGCCCAGCUCCCCACCCCACCCCCGCCACCAUGGACUUGUAUGUGUGAAUGGGGGUGAGCAGGGAGCAGAGGCAGGGCACACAGCUGGUAUUCAUUGCCUUAGUUACACAGCUACUACAACCAUCUGCAGAGACUUCUCUUGUAUGCGAUGGCAACUCUUCUGGAAAAACUGAUUGCCCUGGUUGUAGAAGAGGCGAUGAUCCCAAGCAAUAAAAUCACCAUAG
rnacentral:lncRNA from 1 species